GACGAACCGAGCGAACGUUAUUCGGAAUCACUGGGCUUAAAGGGCGCGUAGGCGGGCGGCCAAGUCAGAGGUGAAAGCCCCCAGCUCAACUGGGGAAGUGCCUUUGAUACUGGUCAUCUUGAGGGAGAUAGGGGCGUGCGGAACUUCCGGUGGAGCGGUGAAAUGCGUAGAUAUCGGAAGGAACACCGGUGGCGAAAGCGGCGCGCUGGAUCUCUUCUGACGCUGAGGCGCGAAAGCCAGGGGAGCGGAACGGGGUUAGAAUGACCCCAGUA
rnacentral:rRNA from 1 species